rnacentral:rRNA from 1 species
UACGUAGGGGGCUAGCGUUGUCCGGAAUCAUUGGGCGUAAAGAGCGUGUAGGCGGCUCGGUAAGUCCGCUGUGAAAGUCCAGGGCUCAACCCUGGAAUGCCAGUGGAAACUGUCGAGCUAGAGUCCGGAAGAGGCGAGUGGAAUUCCUGGUGUAGCGGUGAAAUGCGCAGAUAUCAGGAGGAACACCGAUGGCGAAGGCAGGUCACUGGGCCGCAACUGACGCUGAGGAGCGAAAGCAUGGGGAGCGAACAGG